rnacentral:lncRNA from 1 species
GAGAAUAAAACGCAGGAGCAGGCUCCAUAGUUGCUCAACAGUAUUAUGGCGGUGGUUUCCAAAUUUAAAUGUUUUGGGAUCCGUCGAAAUGACAAUUUUAACCCUUAAAAAAUCUACUACAUCGCUCAUACGCGGCAACGAAUAAUGUUUUCUUUCUUCCAGAACCCAACUUUGAGAAAUAAAGGUAUACAAAAUCACUAAAACACCCCCCAAAAAAAUAGAAAAAAUCUUUGGUGCUCUCACGAAAUCCGGGUUGCUUUUAUUCAAUUCAUCAUCUCUUCUUUACAUGGAAAGAAUUAAGACAAAUUUUCAAUGAAGGAAUCGAGCGAAACCGAGAUGCAAUUCGACAUCACCCAGCCGGAGAUGGACGCCGCCCUCCAGCUCAUCCAACUCAGCGGCGACUCGGCGGAGACCGGCGGCGGGACGGCCGCCAGGACGGCGGAGCAAAGCGUGGAGGAAAGCGUCGGCGAUUCAAACGAGAUAUCGUCGUAUGCGAAAGCUGUAGAGCUCGACGCUCUCCCGCGGAAGAGAAAGCGGUUUCGAUUGAUCGAUGAUAUUUACAGUAUUACGAGCCCCGCCGCUGUCGGCAAGCGCGGUAAGAAAUCUGCGAAACGAUGAAAACUGGCUGUUUCAAUUUUGUAAAUAUUCCGAAAAGAAGAAGGAGAGACAGAAUAUAUGUAUGUUCUUGUUAUAUUUUCUUUCUUUUAUUUGGUUUUUUUUUUUUAGCUUUCUUUCUUAUUUUUGAUUUAAUUAGCUUUUUGUCUGCUGGGAUUGCAAGAGACGAGUAGUUUUUAGGUGAUUGGAAAGAUGCUGAAACGCAUGAGUAUGUAUGUAUGUAUAUACCCGGAAAUUGUAUCGAUAGUUGUAUUUUGGGAGACUGAUUUUGUAGAUUAAUUAACUUAUGGUUUUCUUUGUCUCUCCCUUGAUGGAUUGAAGAUAGAUUUUAUAUUUUUUGUGGUGAGUUGGUGUUCAAAGUUACUAGUACUAUUUUUGGUUUUUAUUUUUGGUAGUAUAGUGGUAGUAGCUUCUUGUUUCGUACUAGUUUAUUGAGUUUGAGAUCACCGUUCAGUAUGAUAUAUUUAUGCCAUUUUGUGAAUUAAACAUGCAUGCAUUACGAGGUGGUUGAGGUUAAACUUUAGGGCCUGUUUGAUAUGGGUUUAAAAGCAGGAUAAGUUAAAUUAAUAUGUAUUUAUGUAGUGUUUGAUAUUAUGUGUUACUAAUAUGGUCAACUCCAGGUUUAUCCCAAGACCCUAGCUUAUUUUGUGGGAUUAACCCACACUAAUUAUCCCACCUCCCCCAUGGGAUUAACCCACACUAAUCAUUCCACCCCCUCCAUAGGCUACUAAUUUAGGUAUUUGAUAUGUUAAUCCAACCUAUUUCAAUGGAUACCAAACACUUUUUGGGAUUAAUUAGCAAUGAUAUCAAACACUCAUCUGAGAUUAGAAAUCAUGACUAAUCCACACUAAAUUAUCAGGAUAAUUUAUAUCCUGAUUAAUCCAAUACUGAAAAUCAAACGGGCCCUUAGAGCAUUCAUAUCAGUUGACUCAAAUCGAUCCGUGCAAGGUUCGGUGGCUCGAGGUGUGGCAUGAUAGGAUGAGCUUGACUCAUCUGGUGAUAUAUAACAUGCGUCUUCAUUGAAAAAAAACAAAAAUGUUUAAAAUUCAAAACUUAAUGGCUAUUUAGUGUUUAGUCGUAUUUUUUUUUCUUUUUCUUCCAACGACUAUUGUAGCUGUUUUUACUUCUCUUUUUCCCCCUCAACGGCUACUUUACCUUUUUUCUUUCUUUCUUUUUCCUUUUAUAAAUACAUAUUCAUACUAUAUUAUUUUCACACUUCACAAUAUCAACCUGCUUUCAAGCGAAGAAAUUUCGUCUUCUCGGCCAACAGGUAACAAGGUGGCAAAGGGUAAAGCGUUGGAAGGCUUGGUCUCUCCUCCUAAGUACGUGAAAUUUAUGGGCAAGACGUGCACAAGUUUCAGAAGUAUCGCUAAGGUGUUCGAAAUGAAGAAUCUGAAGGGUUGUAUACUGAAAGCAAGAAUUUAUGCUUGUAUACAUUGAUUCCUUAGUUCAUUGUGAUUCUUCUAUCUGAAAUAUUGUUUUUGCAUAAUCCUAUUAUAGUCCAAUUUAUGUCAUACUAUAGAUUAUAUGAUGUGUUGUAGAUAACAGAAGAUCAUAUAAUUGAAAAAGUUGAGAUAUAAAUUGAGUUCACAAUCGAGGCAACUAUGGACAAGUUGCUGGUUUAGACUAUAACAUAAAUGGAUAAAUAGUUUGUCUUGGUUAUUUAUUUAUGCUAGUACCUUCGUGUAUUGAAUAGGAUCACAAUGAGAUGAAUUCUUAUAUUCAGACUUAUUAAGAAUCAAGAUUUUGGUGACUUAAAUAGUCUUAACCUUAAUUAAGUUAAUCGGUGUGAAUAAUUAAUUGACUAUUGCUUUGAUUUAUUAUGGGUGAGAGUUCCUUUGAAGCUCAAUAUACUCGAUAUUUUGGGAGAUAGUAAUUAUUUUUCAACAUGCGAGUAUACUGCAAUAAGGAUUCGUGUCCUGCUAAUAAUAGGAUGAUAAUAUCCUCUCGAUGAACUUAAUAAGUUUAUCGUAUUAAACCCUGCAGGUGGAAUUAGUUUCAAUACGAUAAUAAGUUUAAGUGGUAGCACUCGAGAUGUCAUUUAUUAUUAAAUAACUGAUUAAUUAAUUAAUUGAUCGUCAGAGGAAUUAAUUAAUUAAUGGAUAUUGGAUAUCUUAAACACGGGGAUUAAUCAAGUCUAAUACUAGCCCCGACUUACCUAAAGAAUAAAGAGGUAAUUCAGUAUUAAUUUUCUAGUGGAAUAAAUUAAUACUUGUGUCUCGAUUUUAUUCUGGGUUGAAUAAGAAAAUCAAACACUGGGAGGCAAAACUUUAUUUAAGCUAGUAGAUCCUUGCUUGGCCCAAUUAAGGCUCGAACUCCCUAAGUGGGCGUCCCCUCCUCAUUCUCUUAUGCCUUUGGGCUUAGUCUGGUUUAACUAUGUUUAUGGGUUUAUUAUUUAGGUAUGUUUAAUACCUAGUAUUAAUAAUAAGACAGCCCUAAACCUAAUUAAUUAUUCAUUAACGUGGAAUCAGAAAAGAGAAAUCCGUGAGAGCAGAAGAGGGGGAAGGAGACGCCAACUUUGAAGAGGGAGAGGACUUGAAGAUCGUUGCCAUCCAACGUCAAGUCUUGCCGUGGGAAAUGACUCAACUAGAACACCUCUAGAUUGACUUGCAAUAGAACAAGGACACUCUAGCAGUGGUAAGCUAACACAAUGUCGUCUCUCAAGGAAGAUCUUAAAGGGCUUUUAAUUAUGUCACGAGAAAACUGUAAACUUUUAAUUAUGUCACGAGAAAACUGUAAACUAUGGAUUAUUAAACUAAAACUUGAAAGUAAACUUAACUGAAUUUAAACUUAACUAUGCGAAAAGGAAUCAUUAACUAAUGCUUGUAACUUAAACUUAACUAAAAACUUAAUCUUAAAAUUAACUAGGUGAGAAAGAACAAACGUAAAUACUUAAGCAUAAUUUAAACUAUUAAACCUAGGUAUGAUUAAACGCAUAAAGUAAAGGCUUAAUUUAAAUACUUGAAUUAAAGCUUCUAAUCUAAUUAACAUAAACUUAAUUGCAUAAUUUAAAGGAAAGCAAUAAACGAAAGUAAAGCAUAAACAUAAUUAAAUUACAGAAUUUAAAGGAAAGCAAGUAAAUAAACGUAAAUACGAAAUACCAUAAAUCGUCUCGAGAAGCAACCUGCCACGUGAUUACAACUCUAAACGAGAAUUAAUCUUAAACAUAAAUUGAAAGAACUAUAAUAAACUAACUAAGAACAUAAUUCGAAACUAAUACAAAGAAAGCAAUAAACCUAAACUUUGGCUGCCUAGUGGAAACUAAAGAUUAGGGCAGAGGGAAAUUAUUUUUACAAUGAAUAACAAGGCCCUAUUUAUAGACUUCAAUUCAAUCCUGAUCACCAUCAAACUUGCCAUGCAAAACUGAACUCUUAAGGAAAUAGAAUCGUGCAAGGGAAGGAAAGUCCAUCAGGAUCGCGCUCUGCAAGUCAUCUUCACUCUAGCGAGAAUUGACUACUCUGGAAAUUCGGCUCUGGAAAGUAUAGUGCAGAGCUGAAAGUCAGCUCUGGGAAUAGUAUGCUUUGGCAAAGUUCAUCUCUGAAAAGGGCAGAGCUGAAAGUCAGCUCUGUAAAGUUCAGAGCUGGCGAGAAGUGCAGAGCUGAAAGUCAGCUCUGCAUAUGUUGACUCUGGCGCGUAAGUCAGCUCUGUCGAUUUAGCUCUGCUCUGUCGAGUUUAGCUCUGCUUUGACAAGUUUGUUCUGCUCUGGAGAUUUUAGCUCUGAUAGGGAAGUUCAGCUCUGGAGAUUUCAGCUCUGACUAUGAAGUCAGCUCUGCUCUGGCAUCUACGCUUUGCUCUGCUCUGGGCACGGGCUUUUCACACUGGCGCGGGCUUUUCAGCUCUGGCGCGGGAUUUUCAGCUCUGAACACCAGAGUGCGCCAGAAUACGCAUUUCUCAUCCAAAAUCUCCAAAAUUACACUCUUCCAUCUAUAAAACCUAAAUUUCCUGCAAAACAUAAAACAAACCAUAAAACGCACCAAUUUCCAGAAUAUUUAACUUAAAAUAUGGCAUGCAAACCCUCAAAAUUAGAACAAUUAGCAUAAAUCAACCCCCCACACUUAGCCUUUUGCUUGUUCUCAAGCAAAAUCAAUAUGAAUCCUAGGAAGAGAUUGGUUUCAACGAUGAUUGUUUCCAUCCAAACAUUAACAAAGUCAAUUCAAAUUUUGCAAUUAACAUACAUCUCUCGAUCAUGCAAUUAACUUAAAGUUUAAGAAGCAACAAAACAGUAAUGCAAGUAAUUCGAUCAGACCCAAUUUUCCGCUAGAAGUGAAUUCCCUAAUGUGAUCACCUUUAUAAUCAAUAUCACAUUUUUUACACUUUGUGUGCUUAAGUUUUUGGACAGUUGAGCCAUAAUUCAUGAAAUAAAAACCAUUUGGAUGUAAUCCAAAGUCUUUUCACGUGGUUUCCCAUGCUCAUAGUUGACUAAGGAGCAGAGACUCAGAGCUGUCACGUUUCAGAGCUGGCCAGAUGUUUCAGAGCUGGCAUUCUCAGAGCUGGCAGAUGUUUCAGAGAUGCAUUCUCAGAGCUGGCAAUUCGUCCAGUAUUUUCACAUUUCACAGAUAAGGAACGAUCGUAGGCAAUCACAAUGACAACACUCCUUCUAACAUCUACCGGAAAAAUCACGUUUUACUUACUUACAAUCGUGUUGCAACAAAACUCAUAAUUCUUUGCACAAUCACGAAACAUAUAUCAAAAGUAAAUAAGAAUAACCACCAUUCAUUACAAACCCGAAAUUCACUCGAAAACCAUCUUCUCUUCCACAAAUUCAUAAAAAUUACCAAGUAUCAAAGAAUAUGCUAAGCAUAAAGAGAUCAAUCUCGCCCAAUUGAAAGCAUAAGCACAACAAAACACCCCCCCACACUUAAAGCAUGUCAUGUCCUCAGGGCACAAAAGAAAUAAGUAGAGUUAGAAAAACGUCCCUGAUUAUCGGCAUUGAAAAGCAUAAGCUCCGUGAGAGGCGGCGAAAAGUGGGAUUUGCGCUCUGUGGCAGAGUAGAAUUUCAACGCUGGCAUUUGAGAGUGGAAUUUCAGCUCUGACUCUGUACGGCAAGUCAGAGUAGACGUGCAGCGCUGACAUUCUUCAGAGUAGAAUUUCAGAUCUGGCUAGUUCAGAGCUGGCCUUUCCAGCGCUGGCGGCAAAGUCAGAGUAGAAAAUGCAGCGCUGAAAACAAAGACAUUAACACGCAAAAAUCAAAGUAUCCGCACAAGCAACCAAAACUUAGGAAAACCCAAAAAAAAAUAGAAAAACAAAUAGAUGACCACCCACUUAGGAAACUUCAAGUAUAAGUGGGAGAAGUGUUAAGGUGAUUAGUAAAUAGACGCAUUGUAUACUAAAAGUUUGCUUUAGUAUAAGUGGGAGAUUGUUGGAUUUGUAGACUGUAAAGCAAGAACGUUUUAUGCUUGUAUACAAUGUUUCCUGUUACCACUAUCCAAUCUCCUAUCUGAUUGUGUUCAUGAUUGCACAUGUAUGUUCCUUAUCUAUUUAUAAGUAGAUUAUAUGGUGUGUUGUAGAUCACAGAAGAUCAUAUAAUUGGAAUAACCUUAAGAGAUAUAAAAUGAUCACAGCCGAGAUGACUUUAGGACGAGUCAUUGGUUUAAGCUGCGAUAUAGAUGGAAGUAGUUUGUCUUGACUACUUGUCUAUACUGGUACGUCAUAACGUAUUGAUAGGACCACAGUGAGAUGUAUUCUUCUAUCUGACUUAAGUGAAGAAUCAAAGAUCUCGGUGACUUAAUAAUCUUAAUACUAAUAAGUUUCAAAUAUAUAUGUUGUCGUAUAUCACUUUGAUUACUAUGGGUGAGAGUUAUAUAGUAACUUAGUACUCUGUAUCUUGGGUGAUAGCGGUCAAUAUAUGAUAUUCGGUUAUCUGUAUUAGUACCCGUAUCCGGUAUAAGAUAAUGACGUCCCCUUAAGGAGCUCAAUAAGGUUUAUUGCGUCAAACCCUGCAGGUUGAUUAAGUUCAGGCGCAAUAAUAAGGUUUGAGUGGUACUGCUUAAGGAUUACAAGAAAUUAAUUAAUUUAAGCUGUCAGAGCUGUAAUUAAUUAAUGGAUGUCGGAUAUUUUAAAUACGGAGAUUUAAUAAGUCUAAAUACAAGCUGCGACUCAUCAUCGGCAAUAAAGGGGUAAGUCAGUAUUGGUUCUCUAGUGAAUGAACUAAUAUUUAUAAAUUAAUUAUGGUCUGGGCUGACCAUGGAGAAUUAAUUUAUUUGAGGCUCAUCUUUAUUCCUUGUAUCUGGUCCCUGGACUGGCCCAAAUCUUCUUGCCCUAGCAAAGAGAGAACACGCCUAUUACUAAGAAACUGGCGCCUCCUCGUGAAGGAAUAUUAAUUGAUUAACUUCUGCGAUGAUCGUUCUGGAAAUAUAAUUUAUCAACAAAUUAAUCCUAGCAGCUCCUAUGAAUUUAAGCACGGAGUGAAACUGAAAACCAAAGAAUUCGUCAAUCUGUCGCGAGCAGGUCAGUCAGCUUCACAGCCUUCAUUGACUCAACGUCUAAACAGCGGGAUACAGUUCAGAAGAUCUGAGCUGGAGUCAGAUUUUCGCAGGAAAUCAAGUUCUGGCAGUUUCGGGAGAACGGCCAUAACUUCCUCCACAGAACUCCGAUUCAGGCGAAACAGGCGGCCACGGAAAGCUCUCUCGAAGACGAAGAAGUCGUAUUUCUGGGAAAAAUAUGAUUUGAGGACGUUUGAGGCUUCAAACAAAGGCUGGAAGCUGACUGGUCUGUUCAGCUGCGAUUUUGACGAAUUCUUCUGAAUUCUUCAGGUAUUUCUGAACUCCAACUUGCAGCACUUAAAUUCAUAGGGGCAUGUUAGGGAUUAAUCGUUGUAUGAUAAAUUAAUAAUAAUCCAAGAAACGAUCUUCGGGCAAAUCGAGUAUUAAUUCAGUUUAAUAUUCCUUCAGUGUGCACCCGCAAGCACACGUUCAGGUUUGUUGUGCACCCGUAAGCACUAGCAUCGGUUUGCAGUGCACCCGUAAGCACUUGCCCAGUGAAGUUGUUGGUUUGAUCAACCGACCGUGGUUGUAGGACGUGUUUUCCGAACCACGUAAAAAUCUCUGUGUUAUUUACUGCUUUCAGUACUUACAUUCUUACUUGUGCUCUUACCUUCUUAAACUGAAAACUGAUUAAUUGCACAGAGAAACUAUCGACUGACAACGUGUUUAAUUACACAGGCUAUUACGAAACAAAAGUUUUUCGCUGCGUGUGUUAUCAGUCUAACUGAUCUAUCUUCUGAUAGUUAGUAAGAUUCAUAACAUAUCUCUGUUUAUCAAAUCGACUGAAGCCUUACGUGUAUCAGUUAAAGUCUGUGACUUAACUGAUAACUCCUUACUGAAGAGUAUUCAGUAACAGUCGUCAACCCUGUUUUGAGAAAACUCUUUUCAGUAAACAGGUUGAGUCAGUUUGUAUUUAAAGUUUCAUUUUAACUCGAAAAAUAGCCCAUAGGUGUAUUCCCCCCUACACCAUUCGAGACCCUCCGGCCUAACACUAUUCAACAAAAUUUAGUAAUUAAUCGAAACUCUCUCUCUCUACUUUUUCUUUGCGAUUUUUUUCACUUUUUUUCUUUUCUUUAAAAUUGAUUUUCAUUUUUAGAUUUUUUUUU